UACGAAGGGGGCUAGCGUUGCUCGGAAUCACUGGGCGUAAAGCGCACGUAGGCGGGUCCUUAAGUUGGGGGUGAAAUCCUGGAGCUCAACUCCAGAACUGCCUUCGAUACUGAGGAUCUCGAGUCCGGGAGAGGUGAGUGGAACUCCGAGUGUAGAGGUGAAAUUCGUAGAUAUUCGGAAGAACACCAGUGGCGAAGGCGGCUCACUGGCCCGGUACUGACGCUGAGGUGCGAAAGCGUGGGGAGCAAACAGG
rnacentral:rRNA from 1 species